rnacentral:rRNA from 1 species
UCCUACGGGAGGCAGCAGUGAGGAAUCUUGCGCAAUGGGCGAAAGCCUGACGCAGCCACGCCGCGUGCCGGAUGAAGGCCCUAUGGGUUGUAAACGGCUUUUAAGCAGGAAGAACGACCGGAUUUCGAUCUGGUGUGACGGUACUGCUUGAAUAAGCACCGGCUAACUCCGUGCCAGCAGCCGCGGUAAUACGGAGGGUGCAAGCGUUGUCCGGAAUCAUUGGGUGUAAAGGGUGCGUAGGCGGGCGUCUAAGUCUGGGGUGAAAUCUUGCCGCUUAACGGUAAAAUGGCCUUGGAUACUGGGCGUCUUGAGUGUAGAAGAGGUAAGUGGAAUUCGUAGUGUAGCGGUGAAAUGCAUAGAUAUUACGAAGAACAUCAGUGGCGAAGGCGGCUUACUGGUCUACAACUGACGCUGAGGCACGAAAGCGUGGGGAGCGAACAGGAUUAGAUACCCUGGUAGUCCACGCUGUAAACGAUGCAUACUAGGUGUUGGCCUUUCGGGGCCAGUGCUGCAGUUAACGCAUUAAGUAUGCCACC